GAUCUACUCCCUCCGUCCUAAAAUUCUUGUCUUACAUUUGUCUAGAUACGGAUGUACCUAAUACUAAAACGUGACUUGAUACAUCCGUAUUUGGACAAAUUUAAGACAAGAAUUUUGGGACGGAGGGAGUAGUUA
rnacentral:pre_miRNA from 1 species